rnacentral:rRNA from 1 species
GACGAACGCUGGCGGCGUGCUUAACACAUGCAAGUCGAACGGAAAGGCCCAGCUUGCUGGGUGCUCGAGUGGCGAACGGGUGAGUAACACGUGGGUGAUCUGCCCCUAACUUCGGGAUAAGCUUGGGAAACUGGGUCUAAUACCGGAUAGGACAAUCGUUUAGUGUCGGUUGUGGAAAGUUUUUUCGAUUAGGGAUGAGCCCGCGGCCUAUCAGCUUGUUGGUGGGGUAAUGGCCUACCAAGGCGUCGACGGGUAGCCGGCCUGAGAGGGUGGACGGCCACAUUUGGACUGAGGUACGGCCCCGACUCCUACGGGAGGCAGCAGUGGGGAAUAUUGCACAAUGGGCGCAAGCCUGAUGCAGCGACGCCGCGUUGGGGAUGGCGGCCUUCGGGUUGUAAACCCCUUUCGACAGGGACGAAGCUUUGGUGACGGUACCUGUAUAAGAAGCACCGGCUAACUACGUG